rnacentral:tRNA from 1 species
AGGCUGGUGGUGCAGUGGAUAACAUGCCUGAUUACAAAUUAGAAGUUUGUAGGUUUGACUCCUACCUGGCUUG